CGGUGCUCACUGCCACCGACUCGCCCGCUCUGGUGUCCAGCGUCCUCGGCGCGACAGCAUCGGCGAAGGAGAGAUGCAGAACUGUGGCUGUAGGGGCACAGCAGCGGUUUGGGUCCGGUCAUCGGUUUGCUUGUUGGGAGGCGUGAGGAGUGGGCAGGUUUGUUGCUCACCUUGCUCGGCACCUGCAAGGCUGUUGCUUUUUUUUUUGACCUAAAGGUUCAUGGUACAUGUCUGUUCCUGCUGCCUCGUCUUCCCUCACCUGGAUUUUGGUAGCUAAGUCUACAGCCUUAAUGCUGUUUGCAAGGUUGAGAACUGUAGGGAUUUCCCAAAUAAAUUGUAUUCAUGUGUUAUACAACCGUGAUUUUCAAGCAGACAAAUUCUGCUUUAUGCCUAGCUGCAGUUUCAGGGUAGGAGUUAUGGAUGCCCAUUUCAUACAGACUGGAAUAUUUAAAAAUCCUUUGUCAAGAUAAGGUAUUUUUUAUCACAGAAUCUUAAACAUUAGAGAGGGGGGCAGGGGGGAGCCAAAAAACAUGGCUUGUUCACCCACAGCACUUGGUGAGUAUCUCCUCAUUAUCUGUCUGUCAGUGCUGCCCGUGAGUUGGCUGGCUUUUUGGCUGUUGGCUGUACAGAACCUAGCGCUGCAGGAUCCCGACCCAGCACCAGCGGAUCAGGAGGUGAUUCUUGAAUGAAUCAGUCAUAACAGUAAUUGUUUUUCAGAUAUUCCACGCACAGGGGUUCUUGCUGCUGUCCGUGGGAGGUUAUCCUGCACAUCACUAGCUUGUUGUCUAGAUUUUCCUUCUUUUUUUAAUAGUUAUUUGUUUGAUUACAGCAGUGAGUGAAGUUCCUAAGUAGUCGGGCACUAGGCAAACAGCAGAAGAUAAAUACCUUAAAGUAUAAAACCUGUACCCUUUUGGAGUUAUCCUUCCAUAAACAAGAUUAAAUAAUUCUUGUUCUUUCUUGGUAUUUUUAUAUAAAAUUCAAACACAUACAUGGUAUCAUCACCUGUUAUAGGAGUUACUGGCUAAAUGAUGUUUUCAGCUCUUCUCAUUCUAGAUCAAUCCCUUCUGUCCCCUUACCAUUUUUGCUCCUCCUCUGAACUCCCACAGUUUGUCAAUAUCUUUUAUUGUAGCCAGUGAGACACAUGAAGAAACACCCACAUCCCUUCCUUUUAAUCUUUCUCUGAGGAGAACUGACUCACCAAGUUCACUUUGUGUGUGAAAAUCUCUCUAGUAGGAAGAAUAUUUUAGGUUGUAUAGCCUGGAAAGCUUCCUGACUGUUUGUUUCAUGGGAUUAUUUUUUAAUUGUGGAAGUUAAGAGAGAAGUUAUCUCUCCUUGGCCAAGCAGUAGGAUAUUCUGCACCAGAGAACAUAUGCUAAAGGGUAGUGUUGCAAAGGCCUUACUCACUCUAAGAAAUAUUGCAGUGAGCCUGAUUGCAGAGGUGUACACAUUUUUCAAGGCUUGAGUGUUGCUCUCAUUUCAGAGGGUGCAUUUAUGCCAGGUCACUGCUACAGUGAUUUGUGCUGGUGUGAUUAUAUCGCUCCUCCCAUUGUAGGGGAGCGCGGAGCAUUUAGUGUACGUAAAUUACCGGAGGAGUCGUGCAGACCAGGAAGGCAGAGUGCAAAGGCUGUUGCAUCUGAGUGCUUUCACCAGGCCUCCUGAGGUUUUUUUUCUUGUAACCAUCACAAAGCUGUUCCGUGUCUAAUGCUAACCUUGAGGGUGUGCACCUGCUGUGCCCUUACUAAAGGGAAGGGCCAGAAUUGCUCAGCAGCACAACCAACUUCCCAGUCACAGGAAGAUGGAAAAUUUCUUAUUGCCAAUGAUUUAUUUUUUUUCUGUACCGGUGGUAUGCAGCCUUCCACGCUGCCCUGUCUCUGUCAUCAGGUGGAGUCAUAGACCCAUGAAGUAACAUCAUCCUCGUGUCCUAAUGCUGCAGCAGGAUCUGCACUUCAGCCAGUGAUGAUGUAGCAUCUUCAUAUCUCCUGCCUCAUUUCAGGCAGCUGGGAUGAGAAAGGAUAAAGCCACUAACCCAUCUAACAGGCAAGAAGACUGGGAAUACAUCAUCGGAUUCUGUGACCAGAUCAACAAAGAACUUGAAGGGCCACAGAUAGCUGUGAGACUUCUGGCUCAUAAAAUCCAGUCGCCACAGGAAUGGGAGGCAGUCCAGGCAUUGACAGUGCUGGAAGCUUGUAUGAAGAAUUGUGGGAGAAGAUUUCAUAAUGAAGUAGGGAAGUUUCGCUUUUUAAACGAGUUAAUAAAAGUUGUGUCUCCAAAGUACCUGGGAGACCGAGUCUCAGAGAAGGUGAAGACCAAAGUCAUUGAAUUGCUGUAUAGCUGGACAGUGGCAUUGCCAGAAGAGUCCAAAAUCAAGGAUGCCUACUACAUGCUGAAGCGACAAGGGAUUGUUAUGUUUGAUCCUGUGAUUCCUGCAGACAGAACCCUGAUUCCUUCUCCACCACCUCGUCCCAAAAACCCUGUGUUUGAUGAUGAGGAGAAAUCCAAGCUUCUAGCCAAACUGCUGAAAAGCAAAAACCCAGAUGAUUUACAAGAGGCCAACAAGCUUAUAAAAUCCAUGGUAAAAGAGGAUGAGGCUCGGAUUCAAAAAGUGACAAAACGCAUGCACACGCUGGAGGAAGUGAAUAACAAUGUGAAGCUGCUGAAUGAGAUGUUGGUUCAUUACAGCAAAGAGGACUCAUCAGAGGCAGAUAGGGAGCUCAUGAAGGAGCUCUAUGAAAGGUGUGAAACCAAAAGACGGACAUUAUUCAAGCUGGCCAGUGAGACAGAGGAUAAUGACAGCAGUUUGGGGGAUAUUCUGCAGGCCAGUGACAAUUUAUCCCGUGUGAUAAAUUCCUAUAAAAAAAUAAUAGAGGGGCAAGUGAUCAAUGGUGAAGUGGAUCUCCCUGUGAUGUCUGUAGUGGAAGGGAGUAACUCCACAAGUAAUCUCAACACCCUCAUUGACCUUGCUGGAUUGGACGUCACUAGCACCCCGCCGCCUCCAAUGCCACCUACCACCCUGACGCCAGCCCCCACAGUAGCCCCAGCCCCAGCAGAAAUCCCCAUUCUCCCGCCGCCUCCCCAGACGUUCGCACAGUUGCGGAGCAGUUCCUCUAGCCAAGUGGAAGCCGCACCCGCUCAGCAGACCAGCACGGCUAACUCCCUCUCCUUGCUGGAUGAGGAGCUUCUGUGCUUAGGCCUGAAUGACCCAGCUCCUGCAGCAGUGAAGGAGACCUCAGAAAACAACCAAUGGAGCAUGUUUGAGAAUGACCAGUUGGACCUGGAUUUCUUUAAUCCGAAGAUGGUGACUGUUGCUUGCAACCCUGCAGGGAAUCCUCUCUUCCAUCACACAUCACAGACCACAUGUGGAACAUCAGUGACGCUGCCCUCUGCUUUCACAGCCUCUCAGACUGCUCCCAGCAUCCCAGCACCAAACUCAGCACCAUUCAUAUUCUCUGCUGGACCGGCUGCCCCUUCGGGGCCUCCUAAGACUAUUGCAGCUGCUCCUGGGUACUUCAGCUCAUCUGUGGGGAGCAAUAUGUCACAUAAGAUGGAUGCAUUGGGACAACUCCUUGAAGAAGCCAAAGGGACUGCCACCCAAGGCAUGGCAACACCCUCGGUGUUCCCUGGGGUUACUAUGCCAACCACUGUCACCUCUGCCCCAUUAAUAGCACCUGCAGGGCUGCCAGCCACUGCCCCUGGAGCCCCUCCAAUUUCUUUCCCAAGCAGCUGCACUGCUGGCUCAGGAAGUCCUCUCUUCCAGCCGGCAUCAUUCCAGCAGCAAGGCAGUCCCAUGAAAGCACCUGAAAUUUCUUUGGCCAAUGUCCACGUUCCCUUGGAAUCCAUUAAACCCAGUGAGUAUCUCAGGCAGUGCCCUCCCGGUGACAGCCUAUGACAAGAACGGCUUCCGGAUCCUCUUGCACUUUGCCAGGGAGUGCCCGCCGGGAAGGUCAGAUGUGCUAGUUGUGGUAGUCUCAAUGCUGAACACGGCACCGCUUCCUGUGAAGAACAUUGUGCUGCAGGCUGCUGUGCCAAAGUCCAUGAAAGUGAAGUUACAGCCACCCUCUGGCACAGAGCUGUCUCCAUUCAAUCCCAUCCAGCCGCCUGCUGCCAUCACCCAAGUCAUGCUUCUGGCAAAUCCUAUGAAGGAGAAAGUGAGGCUGAGGUACAGACUGACCUUCACACUGGGAGACCAGCCCAGCACAGAGGUUGGCGAAGUGGAUCAGUUUCCCCCGGUAGAGCAGUGGGGGAAUCUAUGACCUUAGGACACUGCCAGAGACUCUGUGACAGGACCAGGAAAGGAUCCCACAGGACUGGAAUGAAUGUGACGUGGGGAGGGACACACAUGCUAUCCACUGGUGAUGUUCAGCUUUGUUUACAUGUCCUGACCACUCUGCUUGUAGCUUUAGUCCAGAAUGUUUUUGCCCCACAUUGAAGGGGUCCUGGAACAUUUAUGCCAAGCAUGAACUGAGUGGCAGCCAGUAACAGGCAGUGUUGGCUGCUUUUAUCUUGACCUCUGGGUGAAUCUGGUUCUAUCUUCCACUCUAUUAAACUUGAAGUUAUUGUAUUUUGAGGGGAGACCUGUCAGCAGAAGGAGAUUUGGUUGGCUCGUUCCUGUCCUGCUGUCCAGAGAUACCUACAGGCUGGUGGGGUAAUGAUGCCACCAUGAGCUUCCUCAGUGCAGAGCCCUUACACAUGCCCUCCCUCGGACUUUUCCCUCCUCAGUGCCAGACUGGAACCGCUAAGCAUGUUGAGCAAUAAUGCUGGCUCCAUGAGGGAAUGCUUAUUUUUUACACUGAAAUGGCACUUAGCUCCCUUCCUCCCCCUCCGCUGCUUCAUUCCCAAUGGCCAAUGUAAGCAGACCCUCACCCUGUGUUGUGUGACGCUGCUGUAUCUUUAGUUAUAUUUAUUUUAUAUUGCUAGCUGCCUCCCUGUUGUAUCCAUUUUGAGCAGCUGGGACUGAGUUUUGUACGCAAAUGGUUACACUGGUUAUUUUUCUGCCUUCAUUGCAUUCCAUAGUGUGGGGAAAAGAGGAAAUGCGUAGUGAGGAGGUGAACAGGGCUGGAAAGGAGUGGUCAGUAUUGGUGGAGGACAGCACCUGGAGCGCAGAAAUGUCUUUACAAUCACUAAUCAGGUGCCGUGACUGAAUCCAGGGAUAAGGAGAGAUGCCUCUCACGUCCCCUCAUGCAGGCAGUAUUAUUAUUGUAGUUGAAUACUGUGUUUUAUCGAGAUGAGUACAAUGACAUACAAGAUGUAAAUAAUAGAGCUAUAGGAUAUCUAAAUAGAAACAAGCAGACAGUGAAAGGAAAGAAGUCUCCACUGGGCUGUGAUGAUGCAUGUGCUGGGUUUAAUGCCGUGUUUUAUUUGUUCCCUGUAUUAAGUGGCUAAGUGCAAUUGUCCCCACAAGGGGGAAGGCAGUUUUGCUGGACAUCAGUGUUCUGUGCUAACAGGGGGCAGAAGAGCUGACCCCUCUAGCUACGGUCUCACAGAAACUAGGUUUAAAACACCAAAACUGGAUUCCAGCAGUCCCUUCCUUCUCCCUUUCGAUUUCCAAUCUCAAGCAGUGCCUCAACUAGCUUUGAGACAGACUGUUUUAAAUUAAUGGGGUUUUUUUUAACAUCCAUUGACAAAAGCACAGAUAGGGCAGGUCCUUGGACACUAAGCUCAGCAUUUCUAGCAGUGCUGUUGAGCAACAGCUGUUAUCAAACCAAGAGUGGGAGCAGUCAACUAAAGCACCAAGAAAAUCAGUACACAGGAGACACCUGCCUGUUGUAGGAAAACUCCAGAGGAGAAUGUGCUGCUGGAAUUAGUGGCGGCUGUAAAACCCAUUACUGCAAAUGCAGCUUGGAGUUAUUUGUAGUUGAAUUUUCUUUACUGUGUUGCAAAGUAAAAAUCACUAGAGGUGAAAAACUCGGUGGAUUCAAAGGCCUGAGGUCCUAAUCAGAGGCACCGGGCAGUUGUAGAAGCCCCUGAAGGUGGCAUCAAAGCUCAGCCGAGGAACUUGCUGUAAACUUCUGGUCUGAAGCUCAUGAAGACCCCAGUCUUGUCAGCUCCCUGAUGUAGAAGGCAGGUGAAAGGGAUGGGUACGUUGUUUGGAUCCUUGAACAAUGCGGUUUUAAAUCGAUGGACUAAUAAGGGACAAGGAGAGAAUUCUUUCUGCCUCAGACAUGUUCUUGCCAGCACUUUAGAGCCAGUAGGCAUAGGGGUAGUGCUUAGGUCACAGUAGUGUGUCCCGAGGAAGCAGGUUUCACUGCUUUAGAUGCCUACACGUGAAUCUCACUGUGACUUUGAGGAAGUCAGAAGAGCACAAGUGCUUUCUGCAGAAUGGCUUUGUUCUCAGUGUUAAUGGCAGCGUACUGCCUGCGCUGUACAGCCAAAUGGAAAGAUGCCAUAGUCUUGCUGUGUGGAAAUCCAUUGUUAAAAGCUUUGGAAAUUAAACUAUGAAUGUUCCUUGUCUGUAGGGUGAGGUUCCUGCUUCAUACCGAACAGCCGUAACUGUAUAUACAUCUCAAAUGCAUUUGUUCUGCUGCAUGUUAAAUAAAUUGUUUUCCCUACUUUGCUCUGUGGAUAGCCCUUACUAACGACUGCUUGUGGAGUACGGUGCUGUUUCUGGAAAUCCUAAAACCCCACCCGUCAUCUCAAAACCAUCUAAACUAAGCAAAAAUGGAGAAGUUGCUGUUUUCUAAAAGUCCAGUCGUUUACAAGGUGGGCUUAAUUUCGGUUCUGGUUAUUAGAGGCAAAGUGACUGAAAAAGCCAAGGUAGUGCCGCCAUUGGUAAUGAGGUUUACUUUACCAGGGGAGGGUUGCCAAGCCACGUUAGAACAAG